ACAACAAAACUCUAACAAGAUCCUCACAAGAUCCAUGAUAUAUGUAGAGUUGAGAUGCAACAUGACAGAUAUACGAUUUAGUCUAGCUAGUAACAAUGUAUAAUGCAAGUAAAGAAUCGAUAAUGUCUGGAUUCUUAGAUAUAUUUUGUCUUAUCAGAUCCAGAAAACAGCUGGAGUUUUGAUCCGGAUGGUUACCGAGACUUUUAGGUUUUUGACUCAAUUCUUAUUUAAGUAAAUUUAUUUUAUUCUUUUAAUAAAAUUGUGUUUCCUCAUUUAUUAAGAGGCUAAAAG
rnacentral:lncRNA from 1 species